rnacentral:rRNA from 1 species
GGCUCAGGACGAACGCUGGCGGCGUGCCUAAUACAUGCAAGUCGAGCGGGGUUAUUUAGAAGCUUGCUUCUAMAYAACCUAGCGGCGGACGGGUGAGUAACACGUAGGCAACCUGCCCACAAGACAGGGAUAACUACCGGAAACGGUAGCUAAUACCCGAUACAUCCUUUUCCUGCAUGGGAGARGGAGGAAAGACGGAGCAAUCUGUCACUUGUGGAUGGGCCUGCGGCGCAUUAGCUAGUUGGUGGGGUAAAGGCCUACCAAGGCGACGAUGCGUAGCCGACCUGAGAGGGUGAUCGGCCACACUGGGACUGAGACACGGCCCAGACUCCUACGGGAGGCAGCAGUAGGGAAUCUUCCGCAAUGGGCGAAAGCCUGACGGAGCAACGCCGCGUGAGUGAUGAAGGUUUUCGGAUCGUAAAGCUCUGUUGCCAGGGAAGAACGUCUUGUAGAGUAACUGCUACAAGA